UUGGGAAUCUUGCACAAUGGGGGAAACCCUGAUGCAGCGACGCCGCGUGGAGGACGAAGGAUCUAGGUCUGUAAACUCCUUUUUCACGGAAAGACUUAGGACGGUACCGUGAGAAUAAGCCCCGGCUAACUACGUGCCAGCAGCCGCGGUAAGACGUAGGGGGCGAGCGUUGUCCGGAUUUACUGGGCGUAAAGAGCGCGUAGGCGGCUCGUUAAGUGUGAAGUGAAAUCUCCAGGGCUCAACCCGGAAACUGCUUCGCAUACUGGCGAGCUUGAGGAAUGCAGAGGUAAGUAGAAUUCCUGGUGUAGCGGUGAAAUGCGUAGAUAUCAGGAGGAAUACCGACGGCGAAGGCAGCUUACUGGGCAUUAUCUGACGCUGAGGCGCGAAAGCGUGGGUAGCAAACAGGAUUAGAUACCCAUGUAGUCCCUGAGCGGGCUGGCAAGGCGCAU
rnacentral:rRNA from 1 species